rnacentral:pre_miRNA from 1 species
UCGGCCGCACACCCUGUAGCUGCCAAGGGGCGUGGUUUAUUCCGCCUCUCGGCUUCUACAUCGUCUGUGAUCGUAU